GGCUCCUGCUACCUUCUGCGGGCGGAACGUGGGUGUCCCGGGAAGGGACGGACCCCAUCUCUACUAUGCCGCAAGCGCGUUGUGUCAACAGGCUGGCUGUGGACGGCCCGAUGAGCGUUACUUGAUUUUGUACUUUCGGCCACCUCCAAUUUUCUCAGAACGCAACAUAAGAAAAAAAAACUAACAGCAGUGUGUGCAGGAGAGCUUCGAAAAUAUGGGUGCUGAUGUUUGGUCACUGCUAUGGGGGAGGUCGCAGAGCUGAGAGUUGUCGGAGGACGUUUUCUGUCCGAGGACGUUUUCUGUCCUGUCUAGCUGUUCAACCCAGGGUCCAGACUUUUCAAGGGCUACUCUAUGGUAGUCCGAACUACUCACUGCUGACACUUGGCACCUAGUCUUCAUUCUGGGACCCCAGAGACAUUCUUCCCUGCUGUGACUAUGCAUGGGGAGGUGUGUCCACUGCCCGGCAUCUCAGCUUCACAAGAGGCCCCACAGGGGUCUCUCACUUGAAGGACAAGGGCCAGGGAGACCAUGUCAGUGGGAAUUACCUGUGAGGUCACGUGCUGCUGCUUCUAGUUCACUCUCUGACCUCUCCUGAAGAAGCCAAGCUGCAGAGAUGAGCUACAAAGGACAUUCUCAGAGCUGUCAAAAAGAAUCAGAGGAGAAAGGCUUCAAAGAAGACUGAGACCAGACCAGCUGCUUGGAAAAAGCAGAAGCCAGCUGAGCUGUCUGGAAGAAGUUUAGAUCAACUGAGGCACCUGGAAAGGACAAUCCACCUCCAACCUGCUGAGCUUCAUGAGUGCUGUGUGUUCCAGGUACCCAGCUUUGUGAGCUGUGGCCCAUGCUGGGGUAGGCUUUGGUGAUACUGCUGGUUUUGAGUCAUUUCUACUCCUGUAAGUAAUUCUUCAUCCAUACUCUUGUGCGUAACCCCAAUAAAACUCAUUGGUCCACCAAACUAG
ensembl:lincRNA 2210406O10Rik RIKEN cDNA 2210406O10 gene